rnacentral:rRNA from 1 species
AACGAACGCUGGCGGCAUGCCUAACACAUGCAAGUCGAACGAGACCUUCGGGUCUAGUGGCGCACGGGUGCGUAACGCGUGGGAACCUGCCCUUAGGUUCGGAAUAACUCCCCGAAAGGGGUGCUAAUACCGGAUAAUGUCUUCGGACCAAAGAUUUAUCGCCUUUGGAUGGGCCCGCGUUGGAUUAGCUAGUUGGUAGGGUAAAAGCCUACCAAGGCGACGCUCCAUAGCUGGUCUGAGAGGAUGAUCAGCCACACUGGGACUGAGACACGGCCCAGACUCCUACGGGAGGCAGCAGUGUGGAAUAUUGGACAAUGGGCGAAAGCCUGAUCCAGCAAUGCCGCGUGAGUGAUGAAGGCCUUAGGGUUGUAAAGCUCUUUUACCCGGGAUGAUAAUGACAGUACCGGGAGAAUAAGCUCCGGCUAACUCCGUG